rnacentral:rRNA from 1 species
GGUCUUUUAGGUUUUUCUGCUCAUGUAAAAAUAAAUAGCCGCAGAAUUUAACUGUGCUAAGGUAGCAUAAUCAUUAGUUUUUUAAUUAAAAACUAGAAUGAAAGAAUUAACAAUUUAACAACUUUUUUAAUUUAAAUUAUAUAAAUUUUACUAAAUAUAAAAAUAUAUUUAUAAAUAAGAAAGACGACAAGACCCUAUCAAACUUCACUUUAGUUUAGCUGGGGCAGCUAAUUAAAAAUGAUUUUAAUUUUAAAUACUUUUAUAAAAGAUCCAUUAUAAUUGAUUUAGUGAACAAGUUACUGUAGGGAUAACAGCGUUAUAUUUUUUUGAAGUUCUUAUUUUUAAAAAAGAUUGCGACCUCGAUGUUGAAUUAUUUAACUUUGAAACGCAAAAUUUUCAUAAGUAGGCCUGUUCGGCCUUUAAAUUUUU